AUCGANAAGACCUUACGCUUUUGGAGCGGCCGAUGUCUGAUUAGCUAGUUGGUGGGGUAAGGGCCUACCAAGGCGACGAUCAGUAGUUGGUCUGAGAGGACGACCAGCCACACUGGGACUGAGACACGGCCCAGACUCUACGGGAGGCAGCAGUGGGGAAUUUUGGACAAUGGGCGCAAGCCUGAUCCAGCAAUGCCGCGUGAGUGAAGAAGGCCUUCGGGUUGUAAAGCUCUUUCAGUCGAGAAGAAAAGGCUGCGGUGAAUAACUGUAGUUUAUGACGGUAUCGACAGAAGAAGCACCGGCUAACUACGUGCCAGCAGCCGCGGUAAUACGUAGGGUGCGAGCGUUAAUCGGAAUUACUGGGCGUAAAGGGUGCGCAGGCGGUUUUGUAAGUCAGAUGUGAAAUCCCCGGGCUUAACCUGGGAAUUGCGUUUGANUACUACAA
rnacentral:rRNA from 1 species